GCUUCAGUGUCUCCAACAAGAACUUCUAAACCAGUGUCCCCAAGACGGCAUUCAAUGUCAUUUUCUACCUCAAGGGGGAUGCCUGAUGAUAGGUCUUCGAUAUUUUCUUCUCUGCCAUCAGGCCAACAUGGUUCAGCGUCAAGCUCUGACACAGGGUCACAGACAGGACGAACUCGUGUGGAUGGGAAAGAAUUCUUCCGCCAAGUCAGGGUCCGGUUGUCUUACGAACAGUUUGGUGCCUUUCUGGCAAAUGUUAAGGAAUUGAAUUCCCACAAGCAAACAAAAGAAGAGACUCUGAGGAAGGCUGAUGAAAUUUUUGGCCCUGAUAAUAAGGACCUUUACGCAAUAUUUGAGGGAUUGAUCAUUCGUAAGUAAUGUUCACUGAAGCUGCUUAUGUGUCACUGGAUCAAAUGUUUGUACUUUUUGAUAUUAUCACUUUGCAAUUUUUUUUU
rnacentral:misc_RNA from 1 species